rnacentral:rRNA from 1 species
GACGAACGCUGGCGGCGUGCCUAACACAUGCAAGUCGAACGGGGCAGCAAUGCCCAGUGGCGAACGGAUGCGUAACACGUGAGGAACUUGUCCAUCGGCGGGGGAUAGCCGGCCCAACGGCCGGGUAAUACCGCGUACGUCGGCGAGACCGCAUGGUCUUGCCGGGAAAGCAGCAAUGCACCGAUGGAGAGCCUCGCGGCCUAUCAGCUAGUUGGUGAGGUAAUGGCUCACCAAGGCGACGACGGGUAGCUGGUCUGAGAGGAUGAUCAGCCACAUUGGGACUGAGACACGGCCCAGACUCCUACGGGAGGCAGCAGUGGGGGAAUAUUGCGCAAUGGCGAAAGCCUGACGCAGCGACGCCGCGUGUGGGAUGACGGCCUCGGGUUGUAACCGACUGUCGCGAGGGAC